UCAAGAAAUUCAUAAGAUUCAACUUUCACAUUUUUAGUUUUAUGAUAAAUGGAUAUUUCUUAUUCCCACUCGACUUGGUAUCAAGUGAUUUGUGAAUAGCUUUUAUUAAUUUCUCGUUAAUAAUGGGGCACUACUUUUCAUUACAUGCUUAUUGUCACGUGUGUUGUCAUGCUUAUGCAAUCACAUUGCAAAAUUGAGAAUGUCACAUUUAUCUGUGUUGCCAUAAUUCCAUUUUCUUGUAGUAUGGUUAAUAACCUCUUGGAUAACAAACUUUGAAAAAUAACUAUGCUACAAGAGUUUCUUUGAGAGUGUCCCCUUGUUCUUUGUUGUUGAUAAAAUGCUACAGGAGUUUCUCAAUGCCUCUGGUGUGGGAGUUUUUUUUCCCUGAGUAGAUAACUAUGGGAAUAUUAUUUUUUAUAUUUACUUUUUAUUGUUGGGUUUGUUUAGUUUUCCUUCGCUCCAAUUAUAAAUGUUGUAGCUACGAUACUCUUUUUGUUACCUUUCUAUUUUUGAUGAAUAAUGCUUAUGGGUUCAUGAAAUCUAAAUAUAAUUGGAUGAAUGUAAUUGUAUAGUCCAUAAUAAUCGGUAAUUGUAUAAAAUAUAUUGGAGUAUAGUCCAUGAUGACAUGUGCAAUGGAUGUGUGGUGUUCAAUGAUUAUAUAUAAUAUAAUAGAUCUGUUGUUUUCCUAUAAUAGGAUAGACCCACACACUUCAUCAAGCAUGGGCCAUGAGAAUAUUGGAGGCAAGAGAAACCUCCAAUGGACACAACCAGAAGAGGACUUGUUCAUUCAACUUAUGGAGACCGAGAUUAGGGCUACGGGGCAGGGGGGAGAUUUGAAAAAAGGUGCAUGGAAACGUAUGGUAGACUCCAUAACAAUGCAAUAUGGGUCAAUAAACACCUUAAGUAGGCUAAAAAGAGAAUGAAUGGGCAAAUAAAUAUCAUAGCAAAACUUUGCUCGAGUAUUCACUGCUAAAUAAGAUCUACAAGGGUGGCACGGCAUAUGGAACUUACAAAUCUAUUGGGGGUGGCAUUAGAAUUGAGCCAGAAAGUCCCAACACUUCAAUCUCAAAUGACCUCCCAUUAAAAGUCCAGGAUGAAUCUAGCUCAUCCACAUCAAAAAGAAAACAGUCUCAAACUCCAAUAGGAACACAUCGCCAAAAAAAGCAACCCUCCAUCGCCGAGUCCAUGUCUUUAGCCAUGACAGAGAUGACCCAAAGCAUUAAGAUGCUGGCAUGUGACACCGUAAAUAACAGUAAUACUCCUGUGGUGGAUGGUCCAUCCAAGGCUAGGAGAGAUGCUUGUAAGAUUGUUGAAAGCAUGUGGAAAGUAGGUGAAGUUGGCGAUGAUGCCCUUCUAUCGACGGAAAGGAUCUUCCAAGAUUCUACAAAGGCGGAGAUGUGACUAAACUUGGGGGAUCCAAGGAUACACUUGGGGGAUCCAAGGAUACAAAGGGCUUACUUAGAUGAAAAGAUGAAACACUUUCGAUAGAUACCUGAUUGACUAUGUUUAAGUGUAACAUUAAAGAUGACUAUGUUUAAUUUUAACAUCAAAUACUACUUCUUUCAUUUCUAUGUGGAUGGUUUAUGUUAUUUUAAUGUCCAAUAUUGCUUAAUGUUUGCUUUGUGGAUUAUAGCUUCUUUCAUUUCUAUGAUGAUUUGCUCUGUGGAUGAUGGCUUCUUUCAUUUCUAUGAUGGUUUGCUUUGUGGAUGAUGGCUUCUUUCAUUUCUAUAAUGGUUUGCUUUGUGGAUGAUGGCUACAUUCAUUUGUAUGAUGGUUUGCUUUGUGGAUGAUGCUUUCUUUCAUUUGUAUGAUGGUUUGCUUUGUGGAUGAUGAUUUCUUUCCUUCGUAUGAUAGUAUAAGUUGUGGAUGAUGGCUUCUUUCAUUUGUAUAAUUAUUUGUGUUUUGUUUUUGCAGGUUUUUUCUUUCACGUCAUUGUUGUGUUGUUAUUGCAAGACUAUUUUCAGUCUUGGAAAGCAUUAUAUCUAUGAUUUCUAGUGUAUGAGUGAAAUAGAAUGGUAGAUAUUGAUUUAAAGGUCUAGAGAUAAAUAUAGGUGUAACUUAGGAAGGUCCAAGGUAAUAUACCAGUGAUCAUUGUAGUUCUUAUUUCUGCGGGGGCUAUUUGAUAAUGGAAUUUAUAGAUCCCUGAAGGAGUAGGUUGGUGAAGAUGACAUUUGGGCUUUGGAAAGCUAGAUUUUUCGUAUUUAGGAAUUAAAUGCAGUAUCCUAUACGAACACAAGUUGAUGUAGUUAUUGCAUGUGCAAUGUUGCAAAACUACAUCAUGAUGACAUGGGGAGCCAAUAGUAGAAGAGAGUUGUGUUUUAGAAGGAGGGUUGAGAGUGAACUGGUAAUUGACAGAGAUGAUGGUUUCUCGCAAUUGACUCAAGGGCAUGAUAACGUCAGUCUGCGAGAUGCCAUGGCGACGCAGUUGUGGGAGUCCUACCUAAAUCGCUAGAAGUUAUUUCUCCCAUUUAUUAUGUUGAAAUAGCACAGUCAUCAUUUGAUUAUUUGUCAAAAUUGAUACAAAGGUUGUUUGGCCUUUGAAAUUUGGCUAUUUUCUUGGCCAUGCACUAUGUGGGUUUGCUUUUUCAAUUAUGUAUGUUUAAACUAUUAUAGGUUAUUCUUGAAUAGGCUGGUUUUAUAUAUGAUAUAUGGAUACACGAAUUGUGAAUGUUGCUUGACAUGCAACACACAUAUCUUAACAAACAACAUACAAAUGUUGUGUGCCAUUAUAAUCUUAGAGAGAGAGAGAGAGAGAACACACAAAUGUUAUGCACAUGACUUGUAAAUGAUGUAUAUUUUUUAAUUGUAAAUGAUGUAUAUUUUUUAAGUUGGAUAUGGAUGCAUCAGUAGUGAAUGUAGGUAGUAUUGAAGUUAUUACAGGUUAUUGUUGAAUGGGCUGAUUUUUUACUGCUUGCAUUGUGCAUGUGUGUUUGAAUGGGCUGAUUAUGGGUUGAUUUCCAUGGCCAAUUUGUCUAUUUGAUAACCUCUUUGUCUAUUUGAUAAGCUCUUUGUCUAUUUGAUGAAUAAUUCUCAUGUUCCGUCAUGAUUAACAUUAGAGAGAUGAAAUUUGGAGCCCAUGUAUAUGUAUAUGUAACAGUAUGAUCUUUGAUUCUUUAUCCAUUUUCUUGAGAUGGUUUGUACCUGUUCAUGUUGGAAGAAUGGUACUUGUGGUUGAAUUAUGCACCUUCACAAAGUGUGUUGAAGGCAUCUUUCAAUAAAGUAAAACUUCUCUUCUCUCUCUCACUCGAAGGUCAAAGAAGAUGAAGGAGCAAGCAGAGUGCUCUGAAUCUGUGUUCUUCAUCCUUUUGAAGCGGCAAAUUACCUGAACGUAAAGAAUUUACUUGAUAGAACUUGAUUGGUGGUCGCAUAUCGCAUCAAGGAUUAGAGCGUGGAAGACGUUCAGAACAUAUUUGGAAUUGAAAAUUAUUUUUCUCAUGAUGACGAGGAUGCAGUGAGGAAGGACAAUGAGUGGGCUUUUGAAUGAGUCCCCCAUGAAUCCCAAAGUUUUUUGCUUUAGAGCCUUAUUAUUUCAGUAAUUGGUAUCAGGGUGGGUGUUUAAGUAUGGUUGGAUUAGUGUGAGUUGUAGAUUUUAUAAAGGCAUUUUGCCUCUCUCUCAUUAUUUAGAACAUUAUUUAGAAAGAUGUCAUUGUCACAAGUAGCAGUUGAUUCUUAAAGAUCCCACUUUCGCAGUUGAUUAUUAAAGAUCUCAUUUAUUCACAAGUAGCAGUUGAUUGUUAAAGAUCCCAUUUAUUGGUCUUUAAAAAGAGGAAGAUGAAUAUUUACUUGGAUCUGAGAUAGAGUGAGAUAGAGGCAGAUGAAUAUUUACUUAGAUCUGAGAUAAGAUCAAAUAGAAGUCAUUUGGAUAUUCAUAUCCUAAUUGGAGCU